AUCCACUGUUAGACAUUCAUUUUUUGUCAUGUAUUGGGCAAAAUCAUGCACUAUAUCAUGCAUCUUGAAUUUCAUUCCCUCAUCGUAAUCCGUCUCAAAAUCUUGGAAGAAAGAGCGCGCUGCUAAGACUUGAAAGUACUGCUCUCCUACAAGCUCCAUAUCUCCACCUGAAGUCUCCUUGAGGUAACCUUGAGCCAUCCACAUCUUCACCAAUUCAUAUUUUCCCAUCUCGUAGUCUUUUGGAAACAUGGCACAAUACAAGAAACAUCGUCUUACCACAGAAGGUAAAUCAUAGUAACUCAAAAGCAAAGGUAUAAAUAUUUGUCUUUCAACCUGAUCUCUAUCAACCUCAUCUAGCCUCCACAAUUCGCUAGAUAAAACACGCUCCCACUCUUCUCUUGUUAUUUUAGACUGCAUUAGACCUCCUAAUACCUUGGCAGCUAGAGGCAAGCCCUUGCACUUGUUUGCAAUUUUAUCGCCGAUAUCUGUCAAUCUUUCGCGCUCAUCUUUGCUUCUUUCCUGGAAUGCCACAUGAUUGAAUAUUGACCUGCAUAUCUUAUCAGACAAUUUCUCAAUGUUGAUCCGGUGGUCAGUUCCCAUCAUCGUUGCCACAGCGUCCUUACGAGUGGUCACUAGAAUUCUGCUUCCAGGUGCACCGCCUUUGAGAGAUAGUUUCAGUGGUUCCCACUGUCCAUGAUUUUCUGUCCAGACAUCAUCUAGGACAAGAAGGAACCUCUUUCCCUUAAUGGAUUCAGAAACCCUUUGCAUAAGGGAUUGCAAUUCAACCAAAUCGGGUGCCCUCCCUUCAAGCUGCUCAAGGAUACCUUUGGCUAUUCUAACCUCAUCAAAUGGUUCUGAAACACACACCCAUAUCUUUUUCUCAAAAUGAGCCGUAACCUCAGCAUCAUUAAAAGCUAGUUGUGAAAAGAAUGAUAUCUUUUGUAUUAUGUUACAGAGUAAACAAAGGUUACAAUUUAUACUAAUGGCUUGAUACAAAGAGCCUACAUUAAAGCCUACGAUCAGACCUAAUUAUCACAGAAUAAGGAAACAAAUAAGUGAAGAUUCAAUUACAGUAUUUGACAGACUUGAUUUCCUAUUCUGUGAUUGAUUUCCUAUGCUGUGCUUGGUUUCCUUUAACACUCCUCCUCAAGUUGGAGUGUAUGUUAAUUACACCCAACUUGCUAAGUAAGGUCUCAAACUGUGUGGAGCUUAAUGGUUUAGUAAACAAGUCAGCCGGUUGGUUUGUAGUCCGUAUGUAGGUUGUUUGAAUCAUUCCUGCUUGAAUUUUCUCACGUAUCAAAUGACAGUCUAUUUCUAUGUGCUUGGUUCGCUCAUGAAAGACUGGAUUCGAUGCUAUGUGCAUUGCUGCUUGGUUAUCACAAAAUUAAGGUUACCGGUUGUGUGUGAUUUAUCUGCAAGUCCUUCAAAAUAUUUUUCAGCCAUGUAAUUUCGCAGCAUGUAGUAGCCAUGGAGCGAUAUUCUGCCUCUGCACUUGAACGUGAUAUUGUUGUCUGUUUCUUACUCCUCCAUGAAACUGGUGCUUCUCCAAGUAAAAUGCAGUAACCAGUAACUGAUCUUCUUGUGUCCUUACAACGAGCCCAAUCAGCAUCAUAAAAUGCUCGUAACUGAAGUGAACCUGUGGACGGCAAAAAGAUGCCUUGCCCAGGUGUUUGUUUGAUAUAUUUGAGCACUUUAUAAGCUGCAUCCAGGUGUGGUUGGCGGGGCUUAUCCAUGAACUGACUAAGGAUGUGCACAGCAUAAGUCAAGUCUGGUCUAGUUAUUGUAAGAUAGAGUAACCUGCCAACUAACCUCCUGUAUGUUGAUCCAUCUUCCAAAAGCUUUCCAUCGGAUUGUGUUAGAGACACAUUUUGCUCCAAAGGAAACCGAGAUGGCUUGACACCCAAAAACCCUGCAUCAUCCAAAAUCUCGAGUGCAUAUUUUCUCUGUGACAAACUAAUGCCAUGUCGUGAUUUGGCAACCUCGAUGCCAAGGAAGUAUUUAAGUUGCCCCAAGUCCUUAAGUUUGAAUUGUUUGGACAAGAAGAGUUUGGUGUUCUCUAUGUCCUGCAAAUUAUUCCCAGCUAAUAUCACAUCAUCAACAUAUAUCAGUAAUGCUAGAAAGUUACCAUGCUGGCUUCGGACGAACAAGGAAUAAUCAGAUAGGGACUGAUGGAAUCCUGCAGCCUUGAGUGCACCGGACAGUUUGAUAAACCACUGUCUAGAGGCUUGUUUUAAGCCAUACAGGGAUUUAUGAAGUUUGCAAACGCGUGUCUCCCCCUUUCAUCCGAAGCCAGGAGGCAAAGUCAUGUAGACGUCCUCAUCCAAGUCACCAUGCAAGAAUGCAUUGUUGACAUCAAGCUGAUGUAAAUGCCAACCACGCAAAGCUGCCACACUAAGUAAGAGGCGGACAUUGACCAUCUUGGCUACGGGAGCAAAGGUUUCCUGAUAAUCAACACCUGCAACUUGGCUGUAGCCCUUGGCCACCAGUCGUGCCUUAUAGCGUUCCACUGUCCCAUCAGCUUUCAACUUGAUUUUGUAUACCCAUUUGCAGCCGAUCGGCCGUUUGUGGGAUGGUAAAGGUACCAAACUCCAAGUCUCAGUGGCCUGUAAAGCAGAUAUCUCAUGGUGCAUGGCCUCACGCCACUGAGGAUGUUGAACAGCCUGUGAAAAACUGGUAGGUUCUUUGAGGAGAGUGAGUUGAGCAGUAUAAGCUUUGUGAUGAGGAGAAAGGUGAGUGUAAGAUAAAUAGGCAGAGAGGGGAUAAGCAGUACCUGAAGUGUGAACCAUGUUCGUGGAUGAUGUCGGGUCAGGCCUUGAAGGGAGAGUCAUGGCGAGAUGGAAAUCCUGCAAGUAAGAAGGAGUGGUGAUAGAACGACUGCCACGACGAAGAGUAGGAAUGGGCACAGGUGAGGAGGUGUUCAGUAUGGGAGAAAAAUCGGGUAGUGGACUAUCAGUAGGACUGGCUGAAUGUGGGGACUCUGUGAGAGGAGCUAGAGGAGUGGAUGAGGUGGUGGAUGGAUGGGUCUGGGAAUUGGGUGAGCUAGGAAAGGUAGGAUUGGGAAGCAGAGAAGGGGGUUCAAAGUGUAUGUCGAAAGGUAUGGAUGGAGUGGGAGUGGGCGUGGGAGGUGAUAAUGAUGGGAUAUUGGUAUGUGAUGCAGAUGUAAUAAAGGGAAAUGUAGAUUCAAAGAAGACGACAUCCCUAGAGACAAGUGUUCGUUGUGUAGCUAGAUCAAAAACUCUAUACCCCUUUUUCCCAUAAGGAUAGCCAAGAAAAAUACACUGAGAUGCUCGAGGAUCAAAUUUUGAGCGAUUUUGGGCAUGGGUGGAAACAAAAAAUAAGCAACCAAAUACUCGUAAGUGUGAGUAAUUGGGAACUUUGUUGAAGAGUUUUUCAUAUGGUGUUUUUCCAUGGAGAAUGGGGGUUGGUGUUCGAUUUAUGAGAUAAGCGGAAGCAAGAAUAGCGUCACCCCAAAAUUGGUGAGGAAGGUCGGCUUGAAGAAGUAAAGCACGUGCCAUAUUUAACAAAUGCCUAUGUUUGCGUUCGGCAACGCCAUUUUGUUGUGGAGUAUUAAUGCAACUGGUUUGAUGAAUAAUACCUUUGUGAGCGUAAAAGCUGUCAAGUUUGAAUUCAAGACCAUUAUCACUACGAAUCAUUUUGACUUUGGAAUCAAAUUGGUUUUCAGCCAUGUUGAUGAAAUUGACUAGAAGACCCCUAGUGUCAGAUUUGUGUUUCAUAAGAUAAAUCCAUGUGCAUCUAGUAUGAUCAUCAACGAUAGUAAGAAAAUAUUUGGCACCUGAAAUAGAAGGAAUUUUAUAACCACCCCAAAUGUCAACAUGGAUUAAAUCAAAUGAAGAUAUGGUAGUAAUGGAACUUGAAGAAAAUGGAAGUCUGGUUUGUUUUGCUAACGGACAAAUACAACACUUGUCGUUAGAGCAAGAAUUAACUUUAGGAAAUAAUGGAGAGACUUUGGUUGAGGGAUGCCCAAGACGUUGAUGCCAAAGGUUCGGGUUAGAAUUUUUGGCAUGGUUGCAGGUUCCUUUCUUGGCUUGGUCGAGAAAGUAGAGACCCUCCCGUUCAAUUCCCGUCCCAAUCAUCUUCCCCGAACGUAGGUCCUGAAUCACACAAAAUUGGCUUAGAAAAAUGGUGAUGCAAGAAGAAUCAAAUGCUAGUUUGCUAAUGGAAAUUAAAUUCAAUCGGAAAUAUAGGACACAUAAGACAUUAUCAAGGAUCAAAUCAGGAGAUAGAUGAACUCUGCCUAUGUGAGUUACUUGUGCUAUUGAUCCAUUCGGUAAUUCAACAGUGCGGCCAUUAACCGGUCUUGAGUAUGUGAGCAGAUUUUGGUCAUAAAUCAUAUGAUCUGUGCACCCACUAUCCAAAAUCCAUGUACUUCUGUUGCCAUUAGAGAAGAGUGAAAAAGCUUUACCUGAGAGCUCAUCAUGAGUUGGACAGUUACUAACAUGGUUGGCAGAGGAUGUUUUGGUUUUUAACAUGCUGAGUAUCUGUUUGCACUCGUCAGGUGUGAAAGGAAAAUUCAUCUCCUUCCUCUCAUUCGUAUGGGAUGCAACUUGAUUUCCCUUGGAAAUCGCCAUAUUAAAUUCAGCUUCAGUUACUGCUUUCUUCUUGCGACAAUACUCGGCUGUAUGUCCCUUCCAGCGGCAGAAAGUGCAUCUGAGAUGUGCACGACAAUCCUUGGUGUUGUGAUUUGUUCUAUUGCAUCUUGAGCAUCUCUGUUCAGUUUCAGUCUCAUGGCUUAAAUUCUUUACGGCAAAGGCAUCAGCCUCUGGUUGAGCAGGACUUUUCCCAGUUGUCACUUCUGAUUGUUUUUCAUGACGAAGAACCAGUGAGUAUGCCUUGUUGAUUGUUGGUAAUGGAUCCUGCAACAGAGUGUUGCUACGAACACCCACAUAUGAAUCACUAAGACCCAUGAGAAAUUUCAUGGUUUUCUGUGUGUCCAGGUAUGCAGCCACUUCCUUGACUGAUCCACAAGUGCAUGUUGGAAAGGUGCAUAGUGCAUCACGCUCAUCCCAUAAACCUUUCAGUUUUGUGAAGUAGGAUCCCACAGACAUGCUGCCCUGCACACAGUUGUGAAUUUCAUUCUCAAUGUUAAAUAACUGAACCACAUUCACAUGUGAGAAUCUUUCCUUUAAAUCAAGCCACAUUUGUCUGGCAUCCUUGCAGUUGAUGACGCUAGCUGCAAUAUCUUUGGACAUAGAUCCCAGCAGCCAAGUUUUAACCAAACUGUUGCACCGAUUCCAUUGUUGAUGCUCAUCUGGUUUCUUCUCAUCAGGCUCCUUCAUUGAGCCAUCUAUAAAUCCAAUCUUGUUUUUAACUGUCAGAGCCAUAGUCAUGGAUUGGCUCCAUGUGCUGUAGUUGUCUUCAACCAAAGGUUGUGGCACAAGAACAGCGCCAGGUUGAUCUGAAUGGUGAAGGUAAAGCUGGUGAUUGGGAUGAUCCCAUCUUGCUCCUGAAGACAUGCUUCCUUGGUUUUCGUUUCCCAUGGAAGUUGGCUAAAGGGUUUAUGUUUUAUUUUGAUACCUAGAUUAAUUGCUCUGAUACCAUGAAAAGAAUGAUAUCUUUUGUAUUAUGUUACAGAGUAAACAAAGGUUACAAUUUAUACUAAUGGCUUGAUACAAAGAGCCUACAUUAAAGCCUACGAUCAGACCUAAUUAUCACAGAAUAAGGAAACAAAUAAGUGAAGAUUCAAUUACAGUAUUUGACAGACUUGAUUUCCUAUUCUGUGAUUGAUUUCCUAUGCUGUGCUUGGUUUCCUUUAACAAGUUGGGCGAGAGUUGUUUUUCCAAUUCCGCCCAGCCCUACUACAGAGAUGACAUCCACGUCCCGUGCUUCUUGACUACUUUCAGCCAGCAACUUGCUUACAACAUUUCUCUUUUCACCAUCUCGACCAAUCACACUUGAUUCAUCAACAAAGGAGGUAGUUGUUAGCCGCUGGAGUUCAUCAGUGGCUUUGUACAGAUCAAAGCCAUACUUAGCUCUCUCUUUGGCAAUGUCAUCCACUUUUUCACUAACUUCUUUGAUCUUCCGGGCAAUGUCGCGACGUCGAACCACUUGAUUGAAACAAAAGCAAGGAGAUCCCAGGAAGGAACACCGUAUCUUCUGUCGGCUGUGAGUAUUUUCAGCUUCCUCCAUUUUCCAUCGAAGAAUUGCAGUGCUCCAUUCAUCUAGCACGUCAUCCAUAUCAUAACAUGCAUCUUUGAGCUUGUCUAGCCAAUCUCUUACAGCCUUAUCCCUCACUUGUUUUCUAUCUGCAUCUUCAAGGACAGAUUGGAUAUCAAGGAGAUUGCUUUUCAGCUUGUCACAUUGUUUCUUCACAUCCACUACUAGGUUCACCUCUUCUUGUACCUAUUAGUGUACAGAUGAAAAGAAACGUUAAGCAUAGGAAACAUUUCUAUGAUUUCAAUACAAAUUCUUAAUUUUUAGCAAUUAAUAGAUUAAAUCAUUUUUAUUAAACUUUUUCACAGUAGCAAUUAAUAUAUUUAUAUUGUUAAUUAUAUUCAAAUUAUAUAUAAUAACUCUCUAAAAUAAAAUGACUCGUAAAUAAUGUAAUGCUAAGCCACUAUUAUUGCACUAAAAUUUACUAGAUGCGUGAAUUAAAAUAUAUUUUAUUUGAAUAAAGGAUUUCUUUAGAUAAAAAGAUAGAAUUCAUAGAUAUUAUAAUUGUGGAGCGCAAUAUAUACAUUGCAAUUUCACAAUAUUUUUAGGUGACUUUUAAUAAUUAUCAUAGUCUAUUUUUUAAAAUAUUCUGUGAGGUUGAUCAAAAUAAAAAAGAAAUAUUAAUUAGAAUUUCUAUAAUCAUGUUUGUAAUCGAAUAUUUGACUAUAUUUAUUUUAAUCAUUUUAUCAUACUAAUUUUAUUUCAAAUAUAGUUAUUUAUGCAUUCAAAUAUGAUAAGGAAUUAUUAAAAAAGGAAUUUACUACUAUUUUACUAUAUUGAUUUGUUCUAACCAGCCAUCACAAUAACCAUAUUUUGUAUAGCACAAAAGAUAUAAAUAAAAAGAAAGAGAAUCGUAAGAACCCGCUAUCUUGUAAAAAUAAUAUACAUACAUACAUACAUACAUAUAUAUAUAUAUAUAUAUAUAUAUAUAUAUAUAUAUUAACUAAUUUAUUUGAUCACAUGCAAUGUGAUAAUAUAUAAAUCAAGCUACUGAUUUAGCUUCUGACAAAUUAACAGAUAUUCUAUAAGAUAAUGAAAUCAAUGUAUAAUGAACUAUAAAUGUUAGGUUAAUUGCAAAAUUGUAGAAAAGUAAUUAAGUACCUGUUGAUUAUAAAAAAAAGAAAAAAAAAAAAGAAACAAACAAAAAAGAGUACCUGUCGAGCAACGAUCGUGGUUAACUGCUCCAAAAUUGGGGAUACAAGUGCGUCAGCCAUUGUUGUUCUUACUACUGAAUGUGUCAAGAAAAAGGAGAGAAAGUAAUGGGGCGUUGUUGACUGAUGAAAUGAGAAGUUGAUGAAGAUAGGAAGGAUAGUGAUCUACUCUGUGGAGUGCCAGAGAAAAUUAAUUUGAGGUUAUUCUCCAUGAAGUUUAGGCAAUAUAUACUGCAAAUUAAGAUCAUUUGCUUAAGACUGGGGUUAGAGUAUGAUUCUGAACUUCAGUAUAAAGCAACUAAUUUCCUUCAAGGUUGAUGCAAGCAAAGAAUGUUACUGAAACAAUGAGAAAAUAUGUGUAACAAGGAAAAGGAAAAGGCAAAGGCAAAGGCAAGUCUAGAAUUAGCCAUUGCUUCACUUUGGGUUCAAGUAUAAUGCAUCAGUCAUUUUUUUAUUUGCAUGGUUAUGGUUAUAAGAUCACGGUAAUUCUGUAAAAAAUAAAUUAAAAUAAAUUAUUUUAGAAAUAAGUUUCUUGUUGUAAUUAAAUUGCAAAAAAUAGUUAGGAUAAAAUUUAAGAUAAAUCCUAGGGAACACAUUCAAAAUGCACUGUGUACUGGAUUCUCAAUGUUCAUUUUACAGUUUGACAAGAGAAUCUUUCCUUCACUUUCACUUGCACGAUCUUUUUUUUAUCUUCUUUUUUUUUCAAAACUUACAAUCUUUUUUUUUCCCAGAUCUUUUUUCACUGUGUACCCAUUAUUUGUUUGGUUUACGAUGCUUUUUUUUUAAUACCUUAUAAGUGCCAAAAUUACCAACACCAUCAAUAGCAUAAUUUUUUUGCCUUAAUUUUAACUGCAAAACAGCUACCUUACCGCCCCAGCAAACGAGAACGAAAAAGCUCACCAAGAUGCUCUCUUUGAAAAGAUUCUCAAUGAGUCACUGACAUUUACUCUCAUUGUUUAAAAAAGUUAGGGUAAAGUUGAAAGAUAAAAUUAAAAAAAAAAUUAUUGAUUAAAAAAACAUUAUUAUAAUGAAUAGUUCUUUUAUGAUGAGGGGUAUUGUAAAAUCCUCUCCUCUUUUGGUGUCUACUAGUUAUGUGAAUUGUGCUUCACUUCAGGUCAAGUAUUUUUAAUUUUUUAUAAAAAAGGUUGUAUAUGCAGAUUUUUUCAACGUAUUUUUGUACUUUAAAAAAUUUAAGUGUAUAUCAAAAAAUUUAUGCACACAUUUAAUCAAAUAAAUUGAGAAUUAUAUAUGUUAAUAAACAAAUAAAUAAUCAUUAACGACACCUAAAAAUAAAACUUAAAAAAUUGAGAGACAAAUAUAGAUCAAUAUAUUUAAUUUCGCAAAAUAAGAUAUUUACCCGAUCAUGUUUGCUAAAUUUUUUAUUAAAAAAAUUUCUAAUUUAAUCAAAUGAUAAUAAAAUAGAUAAACAUAUUAAAUUGAUUGAAUAAAAUAAAAAGAAAAUAUGAAUAAUAUGCAAGGCUACACAUAUUAGAAAUAUCAUAUAAAAUAAAUAUUUUUUAUUUUCAAAAAUAUAGUUCACCUAUGCAAAAGAUAAAAAAAUUAUAGAUAGAUUAGAAAAAACCUCUUUAAAAAUUAAACAUAUAAUCAAAAAAAUCACCAUUAUUUAGAAGAGGUUAUCUAAACAAAAUAAAAAAGAAAGAAAGGGUGGAUAGUGAUCUACCGUGGAGCGCAAGAGAAAAUUAAUUUGAGGUUAUUAUCAAUGAAGUUUAGGCAAUGGCGCAAAUUAAGGUCAAAUUGGAUGUUUUGCACUUUGGAUAAUGAUAUUAAUUUUUGGUGUUUGGUGAUAGAUUUCUUGUUGUGAAAUAGUUAUGGUAAAAUUUAAGAUAAAUCCUAGUGAACACGUCUUGUUGUGAAAUAGUUAUGAUAGACUCUCAAUGUUCAUUUUAGAGUUCCACAAGAGAAUCUUUCCGUCACUUUCACUUACUGCAAAACAGAGCUAUCAAUUUAAAAAUAUAUAAUUGCUCAAAUCAAGAAAUCAAUCUCAAUAAAUAAUAAUGUUUUAUGGCAACAACAGAUAAUAAAUAUUAUAUAAAUUACUAAGAAGUACUAUCAAUUUAAUAUUAAUAAUUUGAAUAUUUAUACUACUCCUCUGCAGCAUAUGAGAUAGUAAGUGAUAGAAUGGUCCCACUCCCCAUGUUAUGGUUUAUAUUUUGCUUUAAACAGAGUAUAGUUGUACUAAAAAUACACCCCUUUCCCGAAAGGAAGGGGAAGAACACAAUCAAGGGAUUUCUUGUUGUUUGACUUCUCAUGUUUCUCUCCCACCACGGGCAACUGUUUAUUUUCGCCAAGGUGAAUUGAGGCUUCAAGUAGAAGAAAUUAUUUACUGGUUAGAAACUUGGUCGAUUUCACUGUUGUCUUUGAGACAAAUGAAACUGAGGUUUUUGGUUUGCAAUUUGGGCAGAUAAGGAUAAUCCUUAUUGUUUGGUGUUUGAGAAUUUAAUUGGUGCUAAAUUUCUUGUUGUAAAUUGCAGAAAAUAGUCAGGGUAAAAAUUUAAGAUGAAUGCUAGGGAACACAUCUUCCCAAAAUGCACUGGGUUCUGGAUUCUCAAUGAAUGUUCAUCUUACAGUUUGACAAGAGAAUCUUUCCUUCGCUUGCACUAUCUUUUUGUUUGUUUGCCCGAUGCAUGAUUUUUUUACCAAAUAAGGAUAAUCCUCAUUUUUCCUUGAUAAAUUCUAACUACAAAACAGCUACUUCACCAACAAGAUGGAAAAGGCUCGCCAAGAUGUUCUCUUUGAAAAGAUUCUCAGUGAGUCGUUGACAUCUCAUUUUUGGAAUUUCUCCAAUAGCUUGAUGUCUACUCUCACUAUAUUGAGUAGGAUGACUGUAUAGAAUUACUCUGAUUUAUCAACACAUAUCAAAUUCUUGCUGCUGCUGAGGAAGAUAUCUGCACUUAGCCAUCAUAGAGGGUAGCGAAUUUUGUGUUGAUGGAAAUUACACUGACUCAUUGUGUACCAUCUAGAAUUCAAUUUUAAAAAAUAUUGCAAGAAAUGAUGUUUUUUCCUAAAUACAUCAUUCGGGUGUGGAUAGCUUGAUUAAAAUGCGACUCACUAAAAAGUCUUGGUCUUAAUAUGCAAAGAUGAUCCUAGUAUACCAUAUUUCUUUUAAAAUAAAACCCACAGAUCUAGUCCACGCAAAGGUACUGGAAUAUGGAUUUGUAAAAAAUAAAAAUGAAAAUUUAUACGAAAUUGAAUUGUGCUAAAAAAACCCACAGAUCUAGUCCAUGAUCUACGGCUCCUCCAGAGUUCCGUAGUGGUGUCUUUCUCAACUAUUCUUUAAAUAAAAUGUUUGGGAUGUGAGAAAUCUUGUGCCUAUCUUCACCCCUCCCCUCCUUCCCGUAACGUUUCCUUAGAGAAUUUAUGUAGAGGCGCUGUCAAAACAUAGGCCGGUAGUGCUCUCAACAAUGGGCAUUUGAGAAUUCUAAACUCAACAAGUUGUGGCAUGAUGAAUAUUGAAGUCAUGGUGGAAUCUUCUUCUCCCACUCUCCUUUCAAUCCCAUCCCACUCCUCUAGUUCUUUGAGAUGCCAUAUGCUAAGUUUUUUCAAUUUGGGGAAAGCAGGGACUCUUGCAAUUUCUCCUUCAUUAAUAUUGGUAUUGCCAACAUUUUCUUUGCCUAAAAAUCCACCAUCCAACCUUCUCAGCUUCAUGCUCAUCCAUCUGAAAAUCUUGGAAGAAACAACGUGCUACUAAGACUUGAAAAUACUCCUCUCCAACAAGCUCCAUACCUCUACUUGGAGUCUCCUUAAGAUAACCUUGAGCCAUCCACAUCUUCACCAACUGGUCUUUUUCCAUCUCGUAGUCUUUUGGAAACACCGUCUUGCCACAGAAGGUAAAUCGUAGUAACUCAAAAGC
rnacentral:lncRNA from 1 species